rnacentral:lncRNA from 1 species
AGGGGAAGCCGGGAGGAAAAUGGCAGCCAAGGCUGCAUCGGGCGGCGAAGAGGGCAGUGUACCCAGGGAGCGGGGCGCUGGCCAGGCCAGGCUGGGAAUGGAAUCUGUCCCUAGCAGCGAGGCUGGCACUGACCCCCUCCCAGUCACAGCCACUGAAGCGUCUGUGCCCGACCGUGGGGCCGACGCCCAGGAGAACGCUCCUCAGGCCGUGCUGCUGCCCCCGCUGCGGGGAGCUUGCCCGCAGCCCGGACGUGGCGGGGCCGGAGCUGGAGGCUGAGGGGAAGCUGCUGGAGAGGGUGAGGGAUCCGCAGCAGCCACCCCUCUCAAGAGUCUGACCUUCCCCGCCUUUUCCUGCACCUCCUCUGAAACACCCCCAGCUCCUGAGGAGCGCUAGGAGACGCCGUUUGCCUCCUCCCGCAGCCCGGCGGGGGCGGCAAGGUGGGGACUCCUUGGUGUGGCAGCUGACCCCGGGCUCGGAGGUGCAGGUCACGCUGCAUUGAGGAUGUGCUUAUCUUGUCGUCCUCCGUCGGGUAGAAGCUCUUCUCCGGGGUCUUCGUGGAUCUGUUCAAAAGAGAUCAUGAAACAUUUGGUGCUAUAGCCCAACUUUUGGUGGGAAACAUAUGCAGCUCUUCUGGUGAUGCUGUUUGGGCCCGCAUCCCUGUGACAGUAUUUCCCAAAAGGGACUAUAAAGAUAACUCACAAGCCAUGUAGCUUCAACGUCAUACAUUCCAAGAAGGGACGGAAGUCAAGUGUGAAGUUCAUGGUACUGUUCCCAGUGACCUUUCUCCUGCCCUGCCUCAUGUGCUAAGCUUGCCUGAAAGCCUGUGGACUUCCAAACCAUCACCUCUUUCCCACGAAGGACCACCUUAUCCUCCCUGCUUUAUCAGAAUCCAUCUAACCAAUCAGUACCUCAGCCCUCUCCUCAGAAAAUUAAGCUGCCCAAACGAAAAUAUCUGGGGAAGAACCCACUUCAAUAAUAAAUCCCAUUAAACUAUGACCUAGGCAAGUCCUAUGCGAUAAAUGUUUAAAAAAAAAUGCUGUUGUUGAAAACAAAAUUAGAAAAGGUAGUAAUGGAAGUGACUGCUAAAUAUGACGGUAAAAAACAGAGAUAUGAAAAUGUACCUACUGUGAACAAAAAACUAAAAACUGGCCAUAAAGUGGAUGGAAAAACCCAAAAUGAAAGCCAGAGAAGAAAUACUGUGGUUAUGGUUUCAGAUACUGCUCACAGAAGAGGCAGAGUAGUAAAUGUUUCUGCUCAGGCAGAUAGGUCAAAAGCUCAGUUAAGUAAUAACAAACUGCUCUAGAGUAAGAACAUGGAUCAUGCAAAAGCUCAGGGAAUUCUCAAAAAUUGCCAAGGAAAUGGCAUGAAAGAAGCAAACUGAAACCUCUACUCCAAAAAUGCACAUUCAAAAGUCCAUUUCACGGGUCAAUAUCAGAAUCCUAGUCAGAUGCCCUUCUGCCUGGGUUUCAUUUAAAACCACAGAGGUACAGGAAUGAAGAAAAUGACUCGAGAAAGUGUGGAGUGGAGAAGUGGUCCUCAACUCCAGUCUUGCUGCACCUCUAUGCGCUCACCAGGUGAGGGCCUUCUGAAAAUCAGAGUCCCUGAAAAGGCCUGGAAGAGGCCAGCAGUGAGAGGUUCAGGACCCAACUGAAAUGCAUGCUCUUGGUGAACAAGAUGAACCAUAGACAUUGGACAAAAAGGGCAGCAAAAGCAUUAUCUCUGGCCUUAAACCAAAAGAAAUCUGACUCUUCCCGUGCUUCAGUGUGUAGCAUUGAUAGCAUAGAUGAUUUGAAAUCAUCCAACUCUGAAUGUAGCUCCUCAGAAAGCUUUCAUUUGCCUCCAGGCAGUAUGCAUGCACCUUCCAAAUCCUUCACUUCUUUCUCGUCAAAGGAAGAGAAAAAGUUCAGUAAUUCCUUGAAAAUGAAUCUUCCAAAAUUGUCUCUAAAUGCAUCACACCACAUGGCAGGACCAUAUGUGUUGGGGAGAUUGUUUCGGCCAAGAUACAUGACUUCCCUUGGUGCCAACCCCUGUUCUUACUGAAGAUAAUGGCCUUUUAUUCAUAUAGGAGGACUGUAAUUUAUGGUUCAAUUCUCCAGCAUAUUUUUUUCUCUUUUGUACCUUUCUCACUUUUUAGAAAACUUCCAGACACACUUGAAUAAGAAGAGAAGGGGCCUGUAUUGCAAGGCUAUUACAGAGGCGGCUAAGACUGCCAAGCAGCUGACCUCCGAAGUACAGGCUCUGAAGUAAAGGCUCCAUUGACAGUUUGAAACAU